AACUGAACCCCUUUGAGGAACUCAAGGAAUAUUAGCUAGUUGUAAAAGGAAAAACUUCAGAGCUUUGUAUUUCUCUUCCAUGACAGUCAUCAACAACCCCAGAUGGCCUCCGAAAAAGAACUACUAGCUCUUGGGACCCUGGAGAUCCUGAGUGGAGCAAUAAUUCUGGUUGUGGGUGUUUUUCUGGGUGCCAUACAAGGCAUAUUCCAACUCUUUGAGCAGUACUCUUACUUCACCUUGUACACAGGCUAUCCGAUAUGGGGCCCUGUGUUCUUUAUUUUUUCAGGAUCUUUCUCUAUUGCAGCCAGAACACAAUCG